AUCACUUGGUGCCUCGGGAGCCAGAACACAGGUGCUGCAUGGCUGUCGUCAGCUCGUGUCGUGAGAUGUUGGGUUAAGUCCCGCAACGAGCGCAACCCUUGCCAUUAAUUGCCAUCAUUUAGUUGGGCACUUUAAUGGGACUGCCGGUGACAAACCGGAGGAAGGUGGGGAUGACGUCAAGUCCUCAUGGCCCUUAUGGGUAGGGCUUCACACGUCAUACAAUGGUCGGUACAGAGGGUUGCCAAGCCGCGAGGUGGAGCUAAUCUCUUAAAGCCGAUCGUAGUCCGGAUCGUAGUCUGCAACUCGACUACGUGAAGUCGGAAUCGCUAGUAAUCGCGGAUCAGCAUGUCGCGGUGAAUACGUUCCCGGGUCUU
rnacentral:rRNA from 1 species